AUUGAACGCUGGCGGCAGGCCUAACACAUGCAAGUCGAGCGAGCGGCGGACGGGUGAGUAAUGUAUGGGGACUGCCCGAUCGAGGGGGAGAACUACUGGAAACGGUAGCUAAUACCGCAUACUAUCGGAUAACCCAUAUGGGAUUAGCUAGUAGGUGAGGUAAUGGCUCACCUAGGCGACGAUCCCUAGCUGGUCUGAGAGGAUGAUCAGCCCCACUGGGACUGGGAAACGGCCCAGACCCCUACGGAGGGAGCAGUGGGGAAUAUUUGACAAUGGGCGCAAGCCUGAUGCCGCCAUGCCGCGUUUAUUAAGAAGGCCCUAGGGUUGUAAAGUACUUUCAGUCGGGAGGCGUUACCGACAGAAGAAGCACCGGCUAACUCCGUGCCAGCAGCCGCGGUAAUAC
rnacentral:rRNA from 1 species